rfam:Dipodomys ordii contig_50907, whole genome shotgun sequence.
UUCAUUUUUCACUUCAUAAGCACAAUAAUUGGGUACUGAUGUCAUCACAUGACAUGGCACCUCUCUCAAAUAUUGUUACAACAUCAGCACAUUGCUUGUCUGACA